rnacentral:tRNA from 1 species
AAAUAAUUUAAGCUAAAUAAGCUAACGGGUUCAUACCUCGUUGAUUAGGUUAAAGAUGAUAUUUAAUUCUUUAC